GUGGCUUAAUUUGACUCAACGCGGGAAAUCUUACCGGGUCCGGACACACUGAGGAUUGACAGGCAAUAUAUGCUUUGCUUACUCUUCGGGGUAGGUACUGCAUUGUUAAAUAUGCUAGUCCUUUCAUGAUUAUGUGAUAGGUGGUGCAUGGCCGUUCUUAGUUCGUGGAGUGAUCUGUCUGCUUAAUUGCGUUUCACUUAUUUUAUAGGAUCUAAUAUUAAUGAUGUGUGAGCGACUCGCAUGCUCUUGACCCACACUUGUUUACUCAGGUGGUCCGUGCGUCAUUAUAGGCUUUUGCUUGACCUCCCAUCUUUUAGCUAUCCUUUGAAAGCAACGAACGUGACCGCAACCUCUUGUUGCCUUCGUUUAACAUCCUACUGCUGACUCUUCAUUGAGCACUGCGGNGGGUAUUGAGGGCUUCACUCAUUCACUUGAGUAAACUAGAGGGACCGCUGUCUACUUCUUAAACCANAGGAAGGUUGCGGCAAUAACAGGUCUGUGAUG
rnacentral:rRNA from 1 species